rnacentral:rRNA from 1 species
AGAGUUUGAUCCUGGCUCAGAACGAACGCUGGCGGCAGGCCUAACACAUGCAAGUCGAACGAAGCCUUCGGGCUUAGUGGCGCACGGGUGAGUAGCACGUGGGAACCUACCUUCCGGUACGGAAUAACCCAGGGAAACUUGGGCUAAGACCGUAUACGCCCUUCGGGGGAAAGAUUUAUCGCCGGAAGAUGGGCUCGCGCCCGAUUAGCUAGUUGGUGGGGUAACGGCCUACCAAGGCUGCGAUCGGUAGCUGGUCUGAGAGGAUGAUCAGCCACACUGGGACUGAGACACGGCCCAGACUCCUACGGGAGGCAGCAGUGGGGAAUAUUGGACAAUGGGCGCAAGCCUGAUCCAGCCAUGCCGCGUGAGUGAAGAAGGCCUUAGGGUUGUAAAGCUCUUUCAGCGGGGAAGAUGAUGACGGUACCCGCAGAAGAAGCCCCGGCUAACUCCGUGCCAGCAGCCGCGGUAAUA